rnacentral:rRNA from 1 species
AUUGAACGCUGGCGGCAGGCCUAACACAUGCCAGUCGAGCGGAUGAAGGGAGCUUGCUCCUGGAUUCAGCGGCGGACGGGUGAGUAAUGCCUAGGAAUCUGCCUGGUAGUGGGGGAUAACGUCCGGAAACGGGCGCUAAUACCGCGUACGUCCUGAGGGAGAAAGUGGGGGAUCUUCGGACCUCACGCUAUCAGAUGAGCCUAGGUCGGAUUAGCUAGUUGGUGGGGUAAAGGCCUACCAAGGCGACGAUCCGUAACUGGUCUGAGAGGAUGAUCAGUCACACUGGAACUGAGACACGGUCCAGACUCCUACGGGAGGCAGCAGUGGGGAAUAUUGGACAAUGGGCGAAAGCCUGAUCCAGCCAUGCCGCGUGUGUGAAGAAGGUCUUCGGAUUGUAAAGCACUUUAAGUUGGGAGGAAGGGCAGUAAGUUAAUACCUUGCUGUUUUGACGUUACCAACAGAAUAAGCACCGGCUAACUUCGUG